CCUCUCUCUCCCUUGUCUAGCUUGUGAAAUCAAAUGGCCAUCCUAAAAACAUUUGUUGCUUCACUUCUUGUCUCUCUUGUUCUCUUCCAAGCCUUCCAAUUAGAUGCUGCUAGUGUUGACACAUAUCCACCCACCAAAAUCGGCCAUUCAGAAAACCCUAAAUCUCAAACACAAAAAUUAUCAUCAGAUCCCAAGAUUUCUUCAUCUUCAAUCGCGAUCGAAAGCAACCAGUUUUUAUGGAGAAAUUGAUUGAAAACCAAAUUGAAUGCCGAAGACGAGUUGCAGUGAUCAGUUAAAUGGUUCAAACAAGACAUUCAGUGAAUGAGUAUGGCUGCGUCUAGGGUGAACUGCCGGCUGAAGCGACAUAGGCACGGUAUUUUGUUUUGUAUUUAAAACAUGGAUUUCAAGACAACAAGAUUUAUACAAAUUGAAUUACUGAUACAUUUUUUUGACGUUUUCUGUAUGACAAUGAGGAGACACGGAGGAGUACUGGUACAAUGGGCCAGCCCUGCAAGUUGUUCAGUCUUUUUGCCCGACCAGUUUGAUCCUCCUAAAGUUCUUUGUGGCAAAAAUGGUGCUUGAUGAGGUGGGACCAGAAGUGUUCGGCAUCACAAGAAACAAUGAGUCGAUUAACGGGAAGGCGGCUAUAACCAGCUAUCAAUCUUACGACUCUCUUACAGUUUUUAGUCAACGUGAUUACGCGAAUAGUUUUGGUUCUUAUGUUCGUGCAAAAGAGACUCUUUAGUACAAGACAGGCCGGUUUGGUCUGGGCCUAAAAAUAAUAUGCGCGACAUGGUUGAUCGAUCUUCCAUUAGGAGAAGGAAAUCGAUUGCAAUGGAUAAUGAUAGUGGGCAAUCAUCAUCGUCUACUGCUGCUGUUGUCAUUGGUUCACAAAUUGUCUGCGAAUCGGUAAGACACUCCGCAAUACUCAGGGCUGCAUCAUUCCGGUGUAUCCUUGACAGUUUGCAAUUUGCACUGCUUGAUACUCGAGCAAGUGCACAAUCGUCUACAACAUUAAGUAGCGUGCCUGUGCCUACCCGGGCAUACAUUGAUUUGGGAGGUUGUACUAAUAUUUGUGAGUACUGUAAAGAUUCUAUUUUUUUUGUAUGAAGAGCGGCUGAAAUUGUCCCCUUAAAAGAGUAGACUGAAAUACAAUACGUGUUGUGGCAGAGGCGCUGUACGAAUUGACUUUCCAAAGGACCUGCCAAUGUCGAUAAAAGAUCUAUAGUCUAUGCUACAUUUUAUGGCAAACAUACGCGCUGCGGAACCAUACCAGGGUCGUAACGAACCAACUGAUACUAGCCAAACAACAUCGGUACGGGUAUUUGUUUUUAUGGUUUUCACUCGAUGUAAAAGAUAUAUAGAUGUUGGCGUCUUCUCCUUUCUGCACUACACCGUUUCUCAUGGUUUUUAGUGGCUACUUUGAAUGGGUAUACAAACUGCAAGUUUUGAGUAGGCUGUGUGUUUUGUUUUCUGUUCUAUUGUUCUUUUCUUUUGUUUAGGGUUGUAUGGUACCUUGGGGUUUUGUUUUGUUUUGUUGUAAUCUUUCUGCAGCUUGCUAAGGUUGCUGUUGUACUUGAUAAAUAUAGCAUAUUUCCAUA